AGUGAACGCUGGCGGUAGGCCUAACACAUGCAAGUCGAACGGCAGCACAGUAAGAGCUUGCUCUUACGGGUGGCGAGUGGCGGACGGGUGAGGAAUACAUCGGAAUCUACUUUUUCGUGGGGGAUAACGUAGGGAAACUUACGCUAAUACCGCAUACGACCUACGGGUGAAAGCAAGGGAUCUUCGGACCUUGCGCGAUUGAAUGAGCCGAUGUCGGAUUAGCUAGUUGGCGGGGUAAAGGCCCACCAAGGCGACGAUCCGUAGCUGGUCUGAGAGGAUGAUCAGCCACACUGGAACUGAGACACGGUCCAGACUCCUACGGGAGGCAGCAGUGGGGAAUAUUGGGCAAUGGGCGCAAGCCUGAUCCAGCCAUACCGCGUGGGUGAAGAAGGCCUUCGGGUUGUAAAGCCCUUUUGUUGGGAAAGAAAAGCAGCAGGUUAAUACCCCGCUGUUCUGACGGUACCCAAAGAAUAAGCACCGGCUAACUUCGUG
rnacentral:rRNA from 1 species